GCUUGUCUCAAAGAUUAAGCCAUGCAUGUCUAAGUAUAAGCAAUUAUACGGCGAAACUUGCGAAUGGCUCAUUUAUAUAAGUUAUCGUUUAUUUGAUAGUACCUUACUACUUGGAUAACCGUGGUAAUUCUAGAGCUAAUACAUGCUAAAAAUCCCGACUUCGGAAGGGAUGUAUUUAUUAGAUUAAAAACCAAUGCCCUUCGGGGCUCUCUGGUGAUUCAUGAUAACUUCUCGAAUCGCAUGGCCUUGCGCCGGCGAUGGUUCAUUCAAAUUUCUUCCCUAUCAACUUUCGAUGUUUGGGUAUUGGCCAAACAUGGUUGCAACGGGUAACGGAGGGUUAGGGCUCGACCCCGGAGAAGGAGCCUGAGAAACGGCUACUACAUCCAAGGAAGGCAGCAGGCGCGCAAAUUACCCAAUCCCGACACGGGGAGGUAGUGACAAUAAAUACUGAUACAGGGCUCUUUUGGGUCUUGUAAUUGGAAUGAGUACAAAUUUAAAUCCCUUAACGAGGAACAAUUGGAGGGCAA
rnacentral:rRNA from 2 species